CUGAUUUUGGCCCAGCGUGGCCCUAACCUUAGGCCAAAAGCACACUGGGUUCAUUCUCGGCCUGCAGAUAAACACAGUGGCUGCUGGCACACGGAGUAGGUUUCAGUGCCAAAAUUCAUACUCCCAAGUUUUAUCUGAAGCAGCAUGUGUCACAAUCUCCUUAGGCUUGUGGCUUGUGACACACAGGGAGUUCAACAGCACUGUCACAUGUUUUUAUUUUCAACUCAAAGAAGGAGCAGGCGUAAUUUUAGUGCUUUUCACCAUAGACCUAAGCAAGCACUCAUUAGGCAAAGUUGCCAAAUGAACAGAUUCAUGAAAUGGACCACUCAGAUCAAUUGGCUUUAGCCAACAAACAGAUCAUACCGCAGGAAGACUGUCCGUAGACAUAUGGCCCUACUGGGGACCCGUCAGGAGAGAACUGCAUCAAUGCGCUCAUGUGCUAACUCUUGUGCGAUCAAAAUCUGCCCUAUAUUUCAGCCAGAUAUUGAUUGGGCAGGUCCUUCCAAGGGCCCCAUAGAUGGGCUGAUAAUCUGCCAACUCUGAAGAAGACGGGAUCAGUGACCCCCCCAUUUCAAAGCUGGAAGGAGAAGGCAAAUAAUUCAAGAACUACAGAAAAAGAAAAAAAGGUCUGGCUGUGGGGGACCCGUCUGGAUGCAUCCGAGUGAAUCCGUGCAAGUGUCUGAUGAAAGACGGAUCUGGAGUCAUCGACCUGGCCGCCUUGGGAGACUCGGAGGGUUUCCUAAUUAGGGAGCUGAAGGUGCAGAGGGACGUGGGGCGCAUCAUGAUGAAACAGUGGGUCACUUUCAGCCCUUGUCUCCCCUUCAGUGAACCUGCUGCUCUUGUGAACUGCUCGCAUGUGGCUGUGUGUGUCGUAACCAGGGAUCAGCUGUCCCCAAGGCAAUCGCUCCUUUUCACAAGCUACGGGCAACACGAGGGCAAUGAAUUUGUGUACAGCAAUGAGAGCAGAAUCCUGUCUGUGACUUAUCAAGCUGUACCUGGAAGCCAUUUUAGGAGCACGGUCCACUUUAAUUGUAGUACAACAACUUCCAUCACCUUCCCCUCCAGCACUGAACAUCCUGAUAGGCUGGAGAUGAUCGUGCACAGCCCCUAUGUGUGCCCUGGCAGGUUUCCAACCCAAGAUGUCGGCCCCGGGACCAUCAUACUUAUUAUGUUUGCUGUCUCUGCCGUGUUGUAUUUCAUAUUUGGUACCUGCUCUCUUCGUUCCACUGAAACUUACGAAGGAGUCCAGAUUAUCCCAGAGCCUCAACUCUGGUGCUGGAUCUGCUAUCAGCUCCGGAGAAGGAAAGACCCCAGAAAAACCUAUUCUUCCACUCUUUAGCAGCCAUGAGUUCAGAUCAGGAUGAAGAACAGAACAUGAGAGCAGAAGGCCACAGCAUCACAGCUUGUACUCAUAGUUUGGGACCCUGUUGGACCCCGUAGCACCCGGAUCAUGUCUAUAAGAUCAUCAGAGGAAGGUGGUAUCCAGAUCAGAACUAUGAACAGUUACCACCAAAGCCUGGUGUGGAAAAUGAAGAAGCACAGAGGGGAGUCAGUACCACUUAUCUUUUCCCACCUCUCCACCAGACUCAGAUUCAGCUCUUGGACAACCCAGUGAUAUGAUAUUCUGCCAACCUCAGUGCCCUGACUUACUCUGCUUUACUGAUUUUCUACCUACUGCACCAGCGGAGAAGGAUCUACUACAUCCCACACGGUCUGAUCAGAGCAGGGGGUUAUGGGAGAUUAUACCCAAGUAAUAUGUUGGCAUGUAUGUAUGGAAGCAAAUACCUGCCCACCAAAAUGGUGCUGCUGCCAUGUGGGUGAGACCUUAAUUCUGCUUGUUUGUCUGCGCGUCAGAGAGAGAGUGUGAGUGAGUGAGCAUUACAGUGCAGUAAGUGUGCCCGUGGCUACCUGUGGCUGCUGCACCGAGUUAACCCACCAGAUGCCACUGUCGGGCUGAAUGCAGAAUUUAUUCUGAUUUCCCGGUGCCUCCCACCUGUAAUUCACUUGUGGGAAUUGUAGUUCAGAGGAGUCUCUCUCACUCUUUCU